AUUUUUUCUGUUUUUUUUUUGUAAACCGCAUGAGUUCCAAAAUUUUGACUC
rnacentral:sRNA from 1 species